CCUACGGGAGGCAGCAGUAGGGAAUAUUGCUCAAUGGGGGAAACCCUGAAGCAGCAACGCCGCGUGGAGGAUGAAGGUUUUCGGCUUGUAAACUCCUUUUGUUAGAGAAGAUAAUUACGGUAUCUAACGCAUACGCACCGGCUAACUCCGUGCCAGCAGCCGCGGUUAUACGGAGGGUGCAAGCGUUACUCGGAAUCACCGGGCGUAAAGCGCGCGUAGGCGGGAUAGCAAGUCAGUUGUGAAAUGCUAUGGGUUAACCAUAGAACUGCAUUUGAAACUGGUAUUCUAGAGUAUGGGAGAGGUAGGUGGAAUUCGUAGUGUAGGGGUAAAAUCCGUAGAGAUCAAGAGGAAUACUCAUUGCGAAGGCGACAUGCUAGAACAUAACUGACGCUGAUGCGCGAAAGCGUGGGGAGCGAACAGGAUUAGAUACCCCAGUAGUC
rnacentral:rRNA from 1 species